GUCUCCAUGGUCUAGUGGUUAUGACGUCGGUCUCAUAAUCCGGAAAGCUGAGUUCGAUUCUCAGUGGGGACA
rnacentral:tRNA from 1 species